CAAAGUCUUAGCUUCCUGCUGAAUAAAGGCUAGAGCUUUUAUGAAGGAAGCAGUCACUUAGCUACAGACCUGGCUCACACUUCCUCAGCAAAAGAAGGAUGAAGGAAAAGGAAGUUGGAUCUCAUCGCUGUCCAAACUCAGCAUGUACAUCUCAGCUUCUCUGCUUUUUAGGUAACCUGGCCUGGUCUUACUAGAAACCUGAAUUUCUGAAGCCCACGUGCACACACAUCCCUGUCUGUAUUCAGUCCCACACUGCCUGCCUGUUGUCUGCACUCUGGGUCUUUCUAGAGCCAGGUUUCAGGACCACUUGCACGUCAUUCUCGAAAAAGCUUCAAAACCACUCACCUACAGUCAGUCCUGCCUGACUAGAAGGCCACUCUCAAAGUAGGCGUUGGGUAAACAUCGACAGCUCCCCGGACUGCCCAACACAAGAGUAUUAGGGAGACAGCCUGGAGAUCAUCUGUCUGUCCAUCUAUCCCUGCGGAUCUGAGUGUCCACACCCUGUGCGCCUGGGCCAGUCAGUGUGCAGAUGUGGCUAAGGAUGUCACCAUCACACACAGGAAACUACCUGCUGGGGCUGUUUCUGAACUCUUCCAUGAGCCUGUCCCUGUCCCUUUAGGCACCAUCUGGCAAAGCUUGUGCUAGUACCAUGCUGGCUCAGUUGCUGACACUUGCAGUGUAAGCCUUGCAACUUUCCUUUUUUUAGAAGAUCAUAUUGGUUUUUGCUG
rnacentral:lncRNA from 1 species